rnacentral:rRNA from 1 species
AGUGAACGCUGGCGGUAGGCCUAACACAUGCAAGUCGAACGGCAGCACAGUAAGAGCUUGCUCUUACGGGUGGCGGGUGGCGGACGGGUGAGGAAUACAUCGGAAUCUACUUUUUCGUGGGGGAUAACGUAGGGAAACUUACGCUAAUACCGCAUACGACCUACGGGUGAAAGCAGGGGAUCUUCGGACCUUGCGCGAUUGAAUGAGCCGAUGUCGGAUUAGCUAGUUGGCGGGGUAAAGGCCCACCAAGGCGACGAUCCGUAGCUGGUCUGGGAGGAUGAUCAGCCACACUGGAACUGAGACACGGUCCAGACUCCUACGGGAGGCAGCAGUGGGGAAUAUUGGACAAUGGGCGCAAGCCUGAUCCAGCCAUACCGCGUGGGUGAAGAAGGCCUUCGGGUUGUAAAGCCCUUUUGUUGGGAAAGAAAAGCAGCAGGUUAAUACCCCGCUGUUCUGACGGUACCCAAAGAAUAAGCACCGGCUAACUUCGUG